UACCUCAAAAUUCCGCAACAGUCUGUUUCAUCAGUAAAGAUACCGCCUGAUUGAUUCUUUACUGAUGAAACAGACUGUUGCGGAAUUU